rnacentral:lncRNA from 1 species
CUUAGCUGUCAUCACUACUUUUUCAAUUUACACGCCAACCACUACGUAAUAAGAUGCUUAGAUCUACCAAAAAACCUACCUCCUCUCACCUAUAUAAACCCCCUCUCCACAACCUUUCACUCCUUCUUUCGCCCACUUUCGGUUUCUCACCUAUUCGUAUGUCUCAAUUAUUUCCUCUUUCUCCUUUAUCCUUUCAUUUUAUUGUUUUAUUUUUAUUUUUAUUUUCAUUUUCAUUUUCUCUGUUUUCCUUUUUGCUUGUGUUUUCAUUUCCUCUGUUUUUUAAUUUGUUUGUAUAUGAAUUUUCAUUUUUGUUGUAGAAUCAGCCCAAUUUUGAUUAUGUGGUGAAUUCAUUUAGACCCGAAUUGAUCGAAAAGGAUAUUGGGAUUGCAUCGGGUUGAUUAUUUAAGUAUUAUGCUUCAGUUAUUGUUAAAUUUGUCUACUUUUGCGAUUUUGCUAAUAUUUUGCUGCUCUGUUUUUGGCUUGCAGAUUGAUUUGCGUUUAAUUGCUGCAGAUACUGUUUGGAUUUGGAUCUAUACAUACUUUGGAUUCUUCAUUAACCCAUUGAAUUAGGGUUUCACAAAUAUCUUAUAUGAUCGCUUCCAAUUCUUCAUGACCCUCAUGCGUCGAAUUCGUAUUAUGCAUUCUUUCUCCGUAGUCUUCCUGUACUGGUUCUACGUGUUUUCAUGAACUAGCCCCCCUCACACCUUGUUUCCUGUCCAGUUUGUUAUAGAAAUUCCAUGUCUUCCAAUUCUUCAUGACCCUCAUGCGUCGAAUUCGUAUUAUGCAUUCUUUCUCCGUAGUCUUCCUGUACUGGUUCUACGUGUUUUCAUGAACUAGCCCCCCUCACACCUUGUUUCCCUGUCCAGUUUGUUAUAGAAAUUCCAUAAUUAGAAAACCCCAGCUCGCAAAACCUAGCAAGAAAGCAGUAGUGCCCUCCCCUUCUUCUUUGAAUUCCAAUAGUUGUCUGAUUAGCCUCUGACUGGAACGAUACACAAGACAUGGCUCCGACACAGCAACCAGCUAGUUCAGGUUCUGAUGGCCAACGUUAUGCCACGAAUGACGAUAGAAAACGAAAGAGAAUGGAGUCCAACCGUGAAUCUGCAAGGCGGUCACGGAUGAGAAAGCAGCAGCAUUUGGAGGAGUUGAUGAGCCAAAUGACACAGCUACAGAAUCAGAACGUUCUGUGGCGGGAGAAGAUUGAUGCUGUGGGAAGAAACCACCUGACCCUUGAUGCGGAGAACAAUGUCUUGAGGGCUCAAAUGGCAGAACUGACUGAACGCUUGAAUUCUCUCAAUUCGCUCACUCGUUUCUGGGCUGAUGCUAAUGGACUUGCUGUGGAUAUCCCUGAAAUUCCGGACACUUUGCUUGAGCCCUGGCAGCUUCCUUGCCCAAUUCAACCCAUCACUGCUUCUGCUGAUAUGUUUCAGUUUUGAGCUGCAGUUCUGAACUACUCUACUCUUAGCUUGAAUUCUUGUUUAAUCAGGUGUUGUUUUGCUCUUGGAUUGGAGUGUGCGAUCCAUAGUGGAAGUGGACCUUGUCAGGGGUUGCUUACAUUAUCCCUUUUGCAGUCUCUCACUGUUUUUUGUUUAUUGUCAAUGUGGGUCAGUAGUUUCUGUUUGUAUUAGCUUGGUGUUGUUGGUACUCCAAUGUUUAGCUCUGGUGGGUUAGCAGUUUCUAGCGCCGUGUCAAUGAUCUUUGCCUCCAGUUUUAUAAAUAAAUAAAUCAUUUAUAUCAACG